CACGUAGGGCGCGAGCGUUGUCCGGAAUUAUUGGGCGUAAAGAGCUCGUAGGCGGCCUGUUGCGCUCGCUGUGAAAGCCCGGGGCUUAAACCCCGGGUCGGCAUGGAUACGGGCAGGCUAGAGGUAGGUAGGGGAGAAUGGAAUUCCUGGUGUAGCGGUGAAAUGCGCAGAUAUCGGGAGGAACACCGGUGGCGAAGGCGGUUCUCUGGGCCGUAACUGACGGCUGAGGAGCGAAAGCGUGGGGAGCGAACAGG
rnacentral:rRNA from 1 species